GUAAAGCGUGCGCAGGCGGUUUUGUAAGACUGUCGUGAAAUCCCCGGGCUCAACCUGGGAAUGGCGAUGGUGACUGCAAGGCUAGAGUUUGGCAGAGGGGGUAGAAUUCCACGUGUAGCAGUGAAAUGCGUAGAUAUGUGGAGGAACACCGAUGGCGAAGGCAGCCCCCUGGGUCAAAACUGACGCUCAUGCACGAAAGCGUGGGGAGCAAACAGGAUUAGAUACCCUGU
rnacentral:rRNA from 1 species